rnacentral:rRNA from 1 species
AUGAAAUCUGGGAAAAGAACUAUGAAGAAGAAGAAGAAGCACAAGCAGGGGCAGGAGCACGAGAAACACCCUGCUGGGAGCCUUCCUGAGGGCCCCCUUAUCGAGAUUCUGUCCCGGGUGCCUUACAAGUCACUCUGCCGCUUCAAGUGCGUGUCCAAGCCGUGGCUUGCCCUCUGCUCCGACCCCGACAUCCGCAAGAGGUCACCCCAGACCAUGGCAGGUUUCUUCCUCCGCAACUAUGGCAUGCGCCCCUGUUUCAUUAACUUGUCCGGAAGAGGCCAACCCCUGGUCGACCCUUUUCUCUCUUUCUUGCGCGAGAGCUUUAAACUUCUCAUCCCCCAGCAUUGCUGCGGUGGCCUUGUUCUCUGCAAAUACUGGGAAUCAUAUUGUUUUGAGGAAGAUGAGUACAAUCUUGUCGUGUGCAAUCCUGCGACCAAGAAGUGGGCCGAGCUGCCUCCUAAUCCUAUACAAUUGCAAGAUGAAGACGAAGAAGAAGUCGAAGAAUAUUUGUGUUUCGAUCCAGCCGUCCCCUCCCGUUUCAUGGUAUUCACACACACUUGGGAUUUCACAGAAGUGAUAAUCUACUCAUCAGACACUGGACGAUGGACUACGGUGGAGAGUGGUUGGAUUGAUAAGACUCCUAUUGGUCUUCCUGUGUUCCUGAAUGGUACUUUGCAUUUGAUGACCACUGAAUAUUCAAUAAUCACAGUAGACACAGAGGGGAAGGUUUGGGGGCAAAUUGAUAUUCCAGGCAACAUGCGAGACAGCUCUGAUUAUCCGUUCAUUGGACAGUCUCAGGGACGAUUGUAUGCUUGGUGUAUAAAUGAUAAUGUUGAUGUUUGCCAACUUUUAGUUUGGGCUCUUGAGGAUUAUGGUGGUGCAAAGUGGGCCUUGAAGGAUACUGUUAACAUUUCAGAACUGUUUGGAAGGGAUCGUUACAAAUAUGUGGAGCCCUUAGCAAUUCAUCCAGAUUGUGAUUUGAUUUUCCUUACCGACCGGAGGGGGAAGGCUAUCUCAUAUGAUAUGGACAGCAAGAAAGUGCAUGUUAUCGGCACUCACGAAACAUUCUAUGGUGCUAUACCUUAUGUUCCAUGUUUUGCGGAAUGGCCGUCAGAUGGUCACUGA